rnacentral:tRNA from 1 species
GCCCGCUUGGCCCGGAGAGCCCAAGUUGGGGUCUUGGGCCGAAGCGUGGUUUGCUGGUGUGCGUAUCGCUUAGGGGGCAC